AAUUCUCAACCUCACCAGUUUUGUAACGAGACCGGUGAAGGCUUGGAUGUGGGGGUUUUGCAGGCUGCCUCAGUGCUGGUCUGCUCCCCUGAAAUGCAUUAGCGAGCUCAUAUUGAGCUUCCGUCUAUUGGUGUGAUAAUUAUCUACGCCGUGGAUUGGACUCAUGCUUGCUUCUAACCGUCCGCAAGGACAAUUUACUUGACCA
rnacentral:misc_RNA from 1 species